UGGCUCAGAUUGAACGCUGGCGGCAGGCCUAACACAUGCAAGUCGAGCGGAUGACGAGAGCUUGCUCUCUGAUUCAGCGGCGGACGGGUGAGUAAUGCCUAGGAAUCUGCCUGGUAGUGGGGGACAACGUCUCGAAAGGGACGCUAAUACCGCAUACGUCCUACGGGAGAAAGCAGGGGACCUUCGGGCCUUGCGCUAUCAGAUGAGCCUAGGUCGGAUUAGCUAGUUGGUGAGGUAAUGGCUCACCAAGGCGACGAUCCGUAACUGGUCUGAGAGGAUGAUCAGUCACACUGGAACUGAGACACGGUCCAGACUCCUACGGGAGGCAGCAGUGGGGAAUAUUGGACAAUGGGCGAAAGCCUGAUCCAGCCAUGCCGCGUGUGUGAAGAAGGUCUUCGGAUUGUAAAGCACUUUAAGUUGGGAGGAAGGGUUGUAGAUUAAUACUCUGCAAUUUUGACGUUACCGACAGAAUAAGCACCGGCUAACUCUGUGCCAGCAGCCGCGGUAAUACAGAGGGUGCAAGCGUUAAUCGGAAUUACUGGGCGUAAAGCGCGCGUAGGUGGUUUGUUAAGUUGGAUGUGAAAGCCCCGGGCUCAACCUGGGAACUGCAUUCAAAACUGACAAGCUAGAGUAUGGUAGAGGGUGGUGGAAUUUCCUGUGUAGCGGUGAAAUGCGUAGAUAUAGGAAGGAACACCAGUGGCGAAGGCGACCACCUGGACUGAUACUGACACUGAG
rnacentral:rRNA from 1 species